ensembl:lncRNA
AGCCAGUCUCCAGUAGGGGAAUCAUUAAUUACCAAUCAAGGGAGGCAUUCUGGGGAAACCCCUGAGUCCCAGAGCCCAUUCUGUCUCCCUGUGUGUGUGCUCAGUCACUUCAGUCGUGUCUGAGUCUUUGCGGCCCCGUGGGCUGCAGCCCACCAGGCUCCUCUGUCCAUGGGAUUCUGCAGUGUGCAGAAUCAUAAAUUCUUACAUUGAAAGGAAGCUUAACAGAAGACUUCUGAGCUACCUGCUUGCCCUGUGCCCCAGAAGAUGCUCCAUUUGCUAAGAUGGGGUCAAGAUAAAGAACAGAGGGGUGGGCAACCUUUUGGGGGCGUCCUGACUGACCACGUGCAACGUCCCCGGAGCUGAAAGGUGGCAAAUGAAGAUGCCUGAAACUGUAUCCAGCACAUAGCGGUUGUUUAUUUCAGCAGACGUUUAAUGGAUACUUAACGAUGUGCUGGGUGGUUAUGAUGAGAGCUGCAGAUACAUGGUGCUGCUGCCCUCCGUGGAAGAUGCUCACAGCUCACGGAGAGACAGACUUUGACAACAGCUCCUUGCACUGUUGCAGACACGGACUUGGCACACAGGAGAUGUGCAUGCCGUGAGUGAGAACUCAGAAUUGUGAAAGCCCACAGCAGGUCUGGAGAAUGGUGAAGCAGCUGUUGAGCAGGCAUGUGCGCGGAGGGGAAGGGGAUUGGGAGCUAGUGCGGGGGGGACAGACUGUGACCGGCCUUGAAUGUUGUAAUGAUCAGUUCGGAUUGUGUCCCAGGACAAAGG